rnacentral:rRNA from 1 species
AGUCGAACGGUAACAGGAAGCAGCUUGCUGCUUUGCUGACGAGUGGCGGACGGGUGAGUAAUGUCUGGGAAACUGCCUGAUGGAGGGGGAUAACUACUGGAAACGGUAGCUAAUACCGCAUAACGUCGCAAGACCAAAGAGGGGGACCUUCGGGCCUCUUGCCAUCGGAUGUGCCCAGAUGGGAUUAGCUAGUAGGUGGGGUAAAGGCUCACCUAGGCGACGAUCCCUAGCUGGUCUGAGAGGAUGACCAGCCACACUGGAACUGAGACACGGUCCAGACUCCUACGGGAGGCAGCAGUGGGGAAUAUUGCACAAUGGGCGCAAGCCUGAUGCAGCCAUGCCGCGUGUAUGAAGAAGGCCUUCGGGUUGUAAAGUACUUUCAGCGGGGAGGAAGGGAGUAAAGUUAAUACCUUUGCUCAUUGACGUUACCCGCAGAAGAAGCACCGGCUAACUCCGUGCCAGCAGCCGCGGUAAUACGGAGGGUGCAAGCGUUAAUCGGAAUUACUGGGCGUAAAGCGCACGCAGGCGGUUUGUUAAGUCAGAUGUGAAAUCCCCGGGCUCAACCUGGGAACUGCAUUUGAUACUGGCAAGCUUGAGUCUCGUAGAGGGGGGUAGAAUUCCAGGUGUAGCGGUGAAAUGCGUAGAGAUCUGG